rnacentral:lncRNA from 1 species
CUCCCUGCAGCAUUUUUAGAAGGUACCAAAUAAGAAAAACGUGGAUGAAGAUGGAGAAAGCAUACAAAACUUUUACACACUGGUUUGAAGGGCAAGCCGUUGUACAUUCCUUGAAGUCAGGUGCUCUGCUCAACAGAAGGUGUGCUGAAUAACGUUACAGGCUCUGUUCCCGGGAGACGUGGAAGCUGUCACCGCGCGGAACAUAAAGAACAGGCCAAGACCAGUGCAGGCAUCGACGACUUUCUCCAUUCAGAGCCUCCGCGCAUCCCAAAUAAAUAAACACAUCAAAACGUGCAAA